rnacentral:rRNA from 1 species
AUACGUAGGGUGCGAGCGUUAAUCGGAAUUACGUGGGCGUAAAGGGUGCGCAGGCGGCGCCAUAAGACAGAUGUAGAAACGUCCCCGGGCUCAACCGUGGGAACUGUCGUUUGUGACUGUGGUGCUUGAGUGCGCAGAGGGGGUGGAAUUCCACGUGUAGCAGUGAAAUGCGUAGAGAUGUGGAGGAACACCGAUGGCGAAGGCAGCCCCCUGGGUCGACACUGACGCUCAUGCACGAAAGCGUGGGGAGC